rnacentral:rRNA from 1 species
UACGUAGGCAGCGAGCGUUGUUCGGAAUUACUGGGCGUAAAGGGCUCGUAGGCGGCCAACUAAGUCGGAUGUGAAAUCCCCAGGCUUAACCUGGGAAUUGCAUCCGAUACUGGAUGGCUUGAAUCCGGGAGAGGGAUGCGGAAUUCCAGGUGUAGCGGUGAAAUGCGUAGAUAUCUGGAGGAACACCGGUGGCGAAGGCGGCGAUCCUAGGACCGGCACUUGACGGCGUGAGGAGCGAA